UCCAUUUGUUCACCAGAUAUAUAAUUUAUUAUGUUGCUUAUGCAUUGUACACUGUAACUCCAUUAUUCCAGCAACUCAAAACCCCAUCCAAUCACUUGGUUCAUCUCACUGUUACAAUCUCUAGGGUGUGUUGUCCUUUGCAUCAGAUUCGAAUACUGUUCCUAUAGCACAGGAAAACUAUAAACACAAUAUAUAAUUGUAUCCAUUCACAUCCAGUAUACAGGAGGCCAGGGACACAGUGGAAUGACAUGGUCAAAUUGCUGAAGAAAUAACUACCAACCCAGAUUUCUAUCCACAACAAUAGUAUUUUUCAGGAAGAGCACAAUAUAAGAUUAUAUCUGGUCAAAAAUUGGAAAUUUAGUAGAAAAGUAACCCUAAAAGUUAUCCUUAAGGCCAAAGGAAAGUGAUUACAGGUGAAAGUUCUGCAGUGGUAGAAGGAAUGAGAAUCCAAGAGAUGGAUGCAUCUGCAGAUCAAUACAAUUACUUAUUAUCUCUAUACAACAUGAACAAUAUCUUCUAAUUGAGCAGAAUAAUAGAUAUGCUAUACUCCAAUACCAACACUCAAUGACAUCCUUUGAUGUGUUCAAGAGAAGGGUAAAGGUAUUAACAAUUCUAUAAUAGGUUAGAGAAGUGUUACAAUUCUUAUCUUAGACUAAUGAAUAAAAUGAGUAUAUACAUUUCAAACUAAAAGAAAAUUAAGAUUAUUAAAACCUAUAUAUUUUUAAAAGAAAGCACAAAAAACAGCCUAGAAGAAAACCACAAAAUAAGAUGCAUUUAAAACCAAAUAUAUUAGCUAUCACAUGAAUUGAAUACAGAAUGCGUGAAUAGUAAUUUCUAAUGGAUUAAAAUAAUCCAGUAGUAGUUCAUAAAUUACACAUCUAAGAUAUAAUGUCAUAGAAAUAUAUGAAAUAGAAGAAUGAAAUAUGUAUACUUAUAAUUACUAAACACAAACACACAAAAAUGUGUAUUUGCAUCUGACAAGUAGGAAUAAGGAAGAAAACACCAGUAAAAUAUACUUUACAGUUUAUACACUUUUAAAAAUUUUAAUAUUACUUUUUAUAAAGAUGAGAGUUUCACUAUGUUGCCCAGGCUGAUCUCAAAUUCCUGGCCUCUGGCAAUCCUCCUGCAUAGGACUUCCAAAAUGCUGGGAUUAUAGGAGUGAGCCACUGCACCCGGCCUGUAUACAAUUUUUACCAUCAAUUCAAAUUACAUUAAAAAAAUUUAGUAUAAUGAGAGUAAAGAAUUAAAUAUACAGACAAACCAGGAUAUUUUAAUAUUAGCUAUCUCAGUAAUGAUUUCAAGAAGGCAGGUAUAACAUUGGUGAGGUUCUAUUAGAUUCAUACACCAUAAUGGACAAAUCUGGACUGACAGAUACAUACAGAACAGCAGAUAUCAGUUGCCGAAUGUUUUCUUUUAGCACAAACUGAGUAUUUAAAAAACUGACAAUAUGUAGUAUCAGAAAAAAUCUUUAACUUUCAUAGAAUAAAAGAGAGAAUACAAUCAGUGUAGAGAUCAACAAAAGAUACCUCAAACUCCUGGCCUCAAGUGAUCCUCUUGCCUCAGCCUCCCAAAAUGUUGAGAUUACAGGCUUGAGCCAUCAUGCCCAGCCUAGAUACCUGAUUUCUUUUUAAUUAUGCUUGAAAUUCAAAUUACAAAAUACUAAGUAACCCAUGCAUAGAGGAAACAAAAAUUGAAGAUUAUUUUAUUUGUAAAAUAAUGACAAUACCAAUUUCAUAGGACUUUUUAUUAGUAGUAUCAUAGGCAGUCUUCUGACAAAUUAGGAAAAGUAGAUAGGGUCUGUCCUUAGAGUAGUGGCUUGGGCUGAUUACCUAACUUCUCUGCACCUCAGCACUGUCAUCAUUACAUUGAAGGGGUCCCUACGGUGCCUUAAAGUGCUCAAGCUCUAUUAUUCACCACACUAUUUUGUCAUUUUUAAAUUAUCAUAGGAUAUUCAACCUGAAGUUUUACUUUACCUGCCCACGUCAUCUCUACAUAUUCUCAUGAGAUGCAGUUCAUGAAUUCUAAAGCAGUAUCAUUUAAUGUAUUAUUUUAAAAAGAUAUUUAGAAAGGUAUAUUCAUUUCAAACAUCUUUAAGAAUAACAGUAUAUCCACUUAAUACCAAAAAGCAUCUCUACAGCAUUAUUUCAUUUAUAUCAAUUUUUAAAUCAGCCAAAAAUGCAAAGCUACUAUUAGUAAUAUACAUUUAAGGUGUCGAACUAUGAAGAAAGUAAAAUGAGUAAGGCAAAAUUCUGGAUGGCGGCAUCCUCUGAAGGUGGAGGAUGGAAUUGGCAAUCUGGCAGGCUCAUGCCGGGCAUGCUGAUUUUGUUCUAUUAUAUAAUCAAGGGGCAGGGUUGAGUGUAUUAGUUUAUUAUAUUUAUCAUGUUUUCCCAUUUUUUAUUCAUGUAUAAGUAAAGAUUAAGUGGACAAAUCUUAAUAGCCUGAAGACUGUCUACAUGUGUUUCCCAUGUAAUUCCUAGUAAUGCAAAGAGAGAGAACAUUCCCAAUAGCUUCUCAGGCACAAAUUUGCCCUCUCAGUUAAUACUGCAUAAAUGUGACCAUUAUCUUGUCUUUUAUCAUCAUGUAUGAUGUUUGGUUAUGAACUUAACAACAUAAUUCUACAGUAUUUCCUACUGUGUAUCUGGUAUGCCACUGCCACUCAAGGUUUCUUUGAGAGGGAGACUAUAUAUUUGUUACUAUUAUUAAUGAAUCUAUUUCCAUGACUGCUGUGAAAAACCCAGGCUGAGUUAACAGUGAUGAGCUCUGGCCAGGCACAGUGGCUCACGCCUGUAAUCCAACACUUUGGAAGGCUGAGGCAGGAGGAUCACUUGAGCCCAGGAGUUCAAGACCAGGCUGGGGAACAUAGGGAGACCUCAUCUCUAGAAACUCACAGGUGGCAUGCGCCUGUGGUCUCAGCUACUAGGGAGGUUGAGGCAGGAGGACUGCUUAGGCCAGGAGGAUAAGGCUACAGUGAGCUAUGACUGCACAACUGCACUCCAGCCUGGGGGAUAGAGCAAGACCCCAUCUCAAAAAAAAAAAAAAGAAAAAGCCUCAAGCAUGUCAGUUCAAAAAAAAUUUUUUUUUAAGUGAUGAGUUCUGGAGGUAAAUACACCCACUCUGGAUUUUCUGGUUACAAUCACUACCUUUUCUCUCAACCUCAGCUAGAAAUCCAGACUCAUGAGGCCUCAAUCCCUGACCUUUCAUUCCUUGCAAAUGCCAAAGCCAACUAUGUAGGAAACUUUUUCAGAGAAGAAAACUCUGUCCUCCCAGAAGAUAAAUUUUCCACUUUGCUCUACGAGGCAGAGAGCAACCUCAAACCACAAACAGGUUGGGACUUGAACAGGCCUGAACUCAAGUAUUCUUUCCUGGGAAAUUCAUCCAUCUUGUUGGAUAAAAGCAGCAGUUUUAAUCAGUGUGUUUUCAUCCAUUUACUUACUGUUUCACAGUUUACUUAAACAUCUUACAAAUGACUGUCAAUUGAACUAUUUACAGUUGUUAUUAUAAAAGUUUUUUUUUUUUUUUCUUGAGACAUAGCCUUCACUCUGUCGCCCAGGCUGGAGUGCAGUGGGGUGAUCUCGGCUCACUGCAAGCUCUGCCUCCCGGGUUCAUGCCAUUCUCCUGUCUCAGCCUCCCGAGUAGCUGGGACUACAGGCGCCUGCCACCACGUCUGGCUAAUUUUUUGUAUUUUUUUAGUAGCGACAGGGUUUCACCGUGUUAGCCAGAUGGUCUUGAUCUCCUAGCCUUGUGAUCCACCCGCCUCGGCCUCCCAAAGUGCUGGGAUUACCGCGCCCGGCCGAAAGUGUUUUAAAUCUUUGUAUACAUGUAUUUUGGUGUAAGAAAGCACUCAAUCCUAAUGAGUAUGCCCCAACAUGACUUGUUUGGUUAUAAAAUAUAAGUAUGUUUAAAUUUAAUGUGAAACCCUUAAGUAACAACAUAUAUAAACAUUAACUCAAACAGAUGUCAAAGCUUUGCAACACUGAGUUACACAAAGCCUAAUUAGGUAGACAAGGAUGGGAGGCUGAGGUGGGAGGAUCACUUGAGUUCAGGAGAUCAAGACCAGCCUGGGCAACGUAGUGAGACCCCCAUAUCUAUAAAACAACAACAACAAAAAUAGGAUAACAAAGAACACAAACAACCGAAAUAUUUUGGAUUACAUCAAAAUUUAAAACUAUUCUUCAGGAUACACUGCUAAGAUAACAAAAAGAAACCAAAUACAGAUAAAUGGUUUGCAAAACAUGUAUCUGACAAAUAACUAGCAUUCAGAAUAUUAAAAGAUACAAUGAAUUCUUAAAAUUCAAUGUUAAGAAGAAAAAACAAUUUAAAGUGGGACAAAAGAUUUGGACAGAUAGGGUCUGGUGCAGUGGCUCACGCCUGUAAUCCCAGCACUUUGGGAGGCUGAGGUGGGCGGAUCACCUGAGGUCAGGAGUUCAAGACCAGCCUGGCCAACAUGGUGAAACCCCAUCUCUACAAAAAAUAAAAAAAUUAGCUGGGCGUUGUGGUGGGGGCCUGUAAUCCCAGCUACUUGGGAGGCUGAGGCAGGAGAACUGCUUGAACCUGGGAGACGGAGGUUGUGGUGAGCUGAGAUCUCACCAUUGCACUCCAGCCUGGGCAACAAGAACGAAACUCCGUCUCAAGAAAAAAAAAAAAAAGAUUUGGAAAGAUAACUAAAGAUAUAUGAACAAUGAACAUAUGAAAAAAUGCUCAAUACCAGUAGUCAUUUCAGCAAUGAAAUUUAAAUCCACAAUGAGACACCUCUACACAUCUGUUAAAUUGAAAAACUUAAAGUGUAACAAAACCAAGUGCUCAAAAAGAUGUAGGACUGGAGCUCCCACAAAAUACUGGUGAGAAAUCAAAAUGGUACAGCCAUUUUGGAAAACAACUUGGCAGUUUCCUAUACAGGUAAAUAUACACAUAUCAUAUGACACAGCAAUUCUACUCCUAGUUAUUUACAGAAUACAAACGAAAAUGUUUCCAACCAAAUAUCUGUAGCAAGAGAGUGACUUCAGCAAGAAGGCAGAUUAGCAGUCCGUAAAUGCUGUUCUCCCCACCCCCACAGAGCCAAAAUAAAUAAGCAAAUACAUUUUAAUGCAAAUAACUAAAGGAAAGCACCAGAAUAUGUCAAAGUAAUAACAAAAACUCUGGUGAGCACAGAAACUCAGGAUAGCCAAGCAGAGAAUGGAACACCUGGUCUCCACAACCCCAUCCCCCAGCCAAGAUCAGCUGAAAACCAGAAGGAAUUUCUCCGUAUGUGGAAAAAGUGAGCAAUAGCAUACCAGCAGCGUACAUCACCACCUUGGACACCUACAGUACUCACCACUGGGGUCCCCUACAGCCCUCACAGGCACUAAGCUUAGCUGACGGACCCGCCUGGAGUCCAUACAGCUGUGCUCCUGAGGAAGGAGCUGACACUGUCCUGCCCCCAGUGGCCCAUACAGCUACUGUGCUGUUAUUUUGGAACGGCUGGAGUUCUGUCUGGUUCCAUGGCACCUCUUCAUCCCUGAGGAUAAGCCAUCACCAUCCACCCCCACCUGGUGGCCCAACAUCUACAAGCAGCUUUUCCACCUUCCCAUGUAGGGCCAUGCAGUGGGAGAGCUGCACCACCUACCCCUCAAGUCCCUAUGCUAGGCUGUGUCCUGUCACCUUCGACUAGAGCUGAAGCUGUGCACUCCCUCCUGGGAAAACAAUGCUCUGGCAGAUGUGCAACAUCCACCUCUCACUGUCUACCUCUCAGUCUACUUCUCCCAAAACUGCCCUGCUUCCAGGGACCUGAGCUGAAGCUGCACAUUGCCUCCUGAGGAAAGGAUGCCUUGGCGAAGCUCCUCCACCUACCCCUCCCAGAUGCUGCUACAUCCUGCCCCUCUAGGCCAGAGCUGAAGCAAUGCCAGGCAUCCUGGGAAAACAGUGCAUUAACCAUCCAGAGCAGUCACACCCCUCUGUACCUGAGCUGAAGCAGUACCUUGUCUCCUGGGAAAACAGUACUUUGGCCAUCGAGAGCAGUCAUGCCUCCCCAGUGCCUAAGUUUAAGCAGCACCCUACCUACCACCCUGCCUUCCAGGUAACAGUGUCUUGGCCAUCCCAAGCAGACACACAGUCCAGUACCUAAUCUGAAGCAGCUUCCUGCAUCCCAGGAAAAUGGUGCCUGGGCCAACCUAAGGUCACACACCCUAGACCUGAGCUGACGAGGCACAUUACCCUCUGGGGAUGCAGUGCCUUGCCUGAACUGAGUAGCUAUGCAAUACUGGGCUGAGCUGGCAUGGGCCUUCACAUUCCAGGGAAACAAAGCAGGGCAUGAGAUGAGACACCCCACACUACAGGCCAAACAACUCUAGUACUCACUUUAGGGAGCUAGCUGGAUAACCAGCUGCCAGGGGGCAGGACUAACACCCUGAAGUAUGGGCUGCUGAGACAGCUUUCUCCCUGGGGAGCUGAGUCAUCACUGGGCUGCUCCCUAUUGCCCAAGGCCCAAACAAAAACUGUGCUAUGCCAGAAACCCAAGUUGCCAAUGAGCCUGAAUGGUUCAGGUUACCAAACUGCAGCUGUAUUCUGUUUCCUUGGCCCAAUACUCCAAAGCACCACUUCUUCCCUAGAGUUGGGCCUGUGCUGUGCCUGGCCGCCCAGAAACAAAAAGCUACAACCUGGCCCUUUGGGCCCAAGCUGCUAGGGAGUACAUCAGAGUUACAGAUCUUGGCUCUGUGGUAAACCUACCUCCAAUUCUACCACAUGGAGCAAAUCUAUAGCUCAAAACCCAGGUGCCACAAUAGGUUCAUCAGAUGCUGAGCCUAGAACCCCAGACCCACAGCUGCCCUGAGCACCUGCACCUGGAACCCAGAGCCACUGUACCUGCCUAUAGGCCAUAUCAUACUUGACAGCAAGAAGUAUCUUCAUGGCUAAGUAACUUCAUUGUGGGGCAAAUGAAAAUAGGAGGACUCCAAAAAAGCCCUUGCCAUUAACAACCUAUGCCAUUACUGCUACAAACUUUUACAACCUAGGCCACUGAGGAAAACAAAGUUACUGCCAACAUUAAAUACUGUUGAUAAAGCUGAACAAAGACUAUACCAUUUCACUUAUCUGGAAACAGAGUUACUACACCCUUCUCAACUAGCACACUAAGGACCAAGUGCAGGUGAAAGCCUCUAUGAAAGUGACUGUAGAAAAAUGGGAAGACGCCAUUGUUUCACCAGAUGCACAGACAUCAAUGCAGGGACAAUAGAAACAUGAAAAGGCAAGGAAAUGUGUCACCAUGAAAGGAACACAAUAACUUUCCGUUAACAAGCUAGAAGGAAAUCUACCAAUUACCAAAAAAGUAAUUCAAAAUAAUGAUCUUUUAAAAACUCAACAAGGCCAGGUGCAGUGACUCACACCUGUAAUUCCAGCACUUUAGGACACCAAGGUGGGCGAGUCACUUGAGGUCAGGAGUUCAAGACCCGCCUGGCCAACAUGGUGAAACCCUGUCUCUACUAAAAAUACAAAAAUUAACUGGGUGUGGUGGUGCACACCUGUAGUCCCAGCUACUUGGGAGGCUGAGGCAGGAGAAUCACUUGAACUUGGAAGGCAAAGAUUGUUGUGAGCCAAGAUCACGCCACUGCACUCCAGCCUAGGUGACAGAGUGACACUCUGUCUCACAAACAAACAAACAAACAAAAAACCCUCAAUAGGAUACAAGAUAAUACAGAAAGAUAAUUCAAUAAAAUCAGAAAAACAAUUCAUAACAUGAAAGAGAAAUUUAAGAAAGAAAUAUUUUAAAAUCACCAAACAGGAAUCCUGCAGCUGAAGAAUUUAAUGUAUAAAAUAUAAGGUACAAUAGAGAGCAUCAAUAGCAAACUUACUCAAGCAAAGAAAGAUAAAGAGUUUGUUUGGAAUUACCAGUGAGAGAAGAAUAAAUAAGAAUGACAAGGAGUGAAGAAAGCCUACCAGACUUAUUAGAUAACAUCAAGGGAAAAAAAUUUCAUAUUUUUAGAGUUCCAGAAGGCAAAGAGAUGACAAAAGGCAUAGAAAAUAUAUUUAACAGGUCGGGUGCGGUGGCUCACACCUGUAAUCCUAGCACUUUGGGAGGCUGAGGUGGGUGGAUCACCUGAGGUCAGGAAUUUGAGACCAGCUUGGGCAACAUGGCGAAACCCCGUCUCUACCAAAAAUACAAAAAAUUAGCCAGGCAUGGUGGUGGGUGCCUGUAAUCCCAGCUACUCGGGAGGCUGAGGCAGGAGAAUCACUUGAACCUGAGAGGCAGAGGUUGCAGUGAACCAAGAUUGCACCGUUGCACUCCAGCCUGGGCAAGAAGGGUGAAAAUGCCGUCUCAAAAAAAAAAGAAAAAAAGAAAAAAAUAUAUAUUUAAUACAACUUUUUAAAUAAAACAGGCCAGGCGUGGUGGCUCACGCCUGUAAUCCCAGCACUUUGGGAGGCCAAGGCAGGUGGAUCAUGAGGUCAGGAGUUCAAGACCAGCCUGGCCAACAUGGUGAAACCCCAUCUCUACAAAAAUACAAAAAUUAACCAGGCAUGGUGGCAUGCGCCUGUAAUCCCAGCUGCUCCAGAGGCUGAGACAGGAGAAUCGCUUGAACCUGGGAGGUGGAGGCUGCAGUGAGCCAAGAUCAUGCCACUGCACUCCAGCAUGGGCAAGAGAGUGAAACUCCACUUAAAAAAAAAAAAGAAAGAGAAAAAUUAGGUAGAAAUAAAGUGUGUCUCAGGCAAGCAAAAAUUAAGGGAAUUUAUCACCACUACACCAGCCUUUCAAGAAAUGAUCAAGGGAAUGCUAUAUCGGGAAAUAAGAAGACAAUAAUCACCAUUAUGUAACCACAUAAAAGUAUAAGACUCACUGGUAGAGCAGAUAGGCAAAGAAAAAAGAGAAAAAAAAAAUCAAAUCUUAUCACUACAGAAAACCACCAAAAUACAAUGAUAAAAAAUAAGAGAUGAAGAAAAGAACAAAGGAUAUACAAAACAUUCUGAAAACCACAAAAUGAAAGGAGUCUUCACUUAAAAAUAAUAACCUUGAGGUAAACAGAUUAAAUUCCUACCUUAAAAGAUAUAUACUAAAUGGGUUUUUAAAAUGACCCAACUAUAUGCUACCUAUAAGAAACUCACUUCACCUCUAAAGACACAAAUAUGGCCAGGCGCAGUGACUCACACCUGUAAUCCCAGCACUUUGGGAGGCUGAGGCGGGUGGAUCACCUGAGGUCAGUUCGAGACCAGCCUGGCCAACAUAGUGAAACCCCAUCUCUACUAAAAAUACAAAAAUUAGCCGGGUGUGGUGGCGCACACCUGUAGUCCCAGCUACUCGGGAGGGUGAGGCAGGAGAAAUGCUUAAACCCAGGAGUCAGAGGUUGCAGUGAGCCAAGAUAGCACCACUGCACUCCAGCCUGGGUGACAGAGCGAGACUAUGUCUGGAAAAAAAAAAAAAAAAAAAAGACACAGACUGAAAGCGAAGGAAUAGAAUAUAUUCCAUGCAAAUGGAAACCAAAAGCAAGCAGGAGUAGCUAUACAUUUUUUUUCUUUUUUC
rnacentral:lncRNA from 1 species